rnacentral:rRNA from 1 species
CCUACGGGAGGCUGCAGUGGGGAAUAUUGGACAAUGGGGGCAACCCUGAUCCAGCCAUGCCGCGUGUGUGAAGAAGGUCCUCGGGUUGUAAAGCACUUUCAGUGAGGAAGAACGCCUGGUGGUUAAUACCCAUCAGGAAAGACAUCACUCACAGAAGAAGCACCGGCUAACUCCGUGCCAGCAGCCGCGGUAAUACGGAGGGUGCGAGCGUUAAUCGGAAUUACUGGGCGUAAAGCGCGCGUAGGUGGCUUGAUAAGCCGGUUGUGAAAGCCCCGGGCUCAACCUGGGAACGGCAUCCGGAACUGUCAAGCUAGAGUGCAGGAGAGGAAGGUAGAAUUCCCGGUGUAGCGGUGAAAUGCGUAGAGAUCGGGAGGAAUACCAGUGGCGAAGGCGGCCUUCUGGACUGACACUGACACUGAGGUGCGAAAGCGUGGGUAGCAAACAGGAUUAGAUACCCCGGUAGUC